rnacentral:lncRNA from 1 species
UCCUUGUGCAGUUCAUGAUGGUGUGGCAGCGGUAUAGAGAGAAUGGGUCCUGCAGCUUGGCCAGGCGCUCCUCUGUGAAGUCAUCUCUGGAGUCAAUCAUCCAGCGAUAGGCCUGCAUAAGAACUGCAGGCCCCAGAUAUUUGUCUCCGUUCCACCAGUAGCUGGGGCAGCUGGUGCUACAGCAGGCACAGAGAAUGCACUCGUAGAGCCCGUCCAGUUUCUCACGCUCUUCUAUGGACUGCAGAUACUGCUGCUUGCCUUCCUGAGAUUCAUCCUUCUUCUUCAAAUAAGGCUCAAUGGAUU